rnacentral:rRNA from 1 species
UACGUAGGGUGCAAGCGUUGUCCGGAAUUAUUGGGCGUAAAGAGCUCGUAGGCGGUUUGUCGCGUCUGCUGUGAAAACUCGGGGCUUAACUCCGGGCCUGCAGUGGGUACGGGCAGACUAGAGUGCGGUAGGGGAGACUGGAAUUCCUGGUGUAGCGGUGAAAUGCGCAGAUAUCAGGAGGAACACCGGUGGCGAAGGCGGUGCUCUGGGCCAGUACUGACGCUGAGGAGCGAAAGCGUGGGGAGCGAACAGG